UAAUUAAUGUCUAAGUUAUCCUUUGAGUGACGUUCUUUCUGGUGGUCAAAUCUUGCAUCCUAUUUCCUAUCGUCCAUUCUCUCUCUUCCUCCUUCUCCUCCUCCUCUGGCUAUCUUCAUCCCUUCCUUCCUUUUAAGUAAUGUCUAAGUUAUCUAUCGCUCAAGGUUCCUUCCAGUGUGUUUGUGGUGCCCGGCUCUGCUUGCUAGUUUGUUUUGUCAUUGUAUAAUUGUCAAUCCUAGUUUUUGUCAUUGUAUAAUUGUCAAUCCUAGUUUUUGUCAUUGUAUAAUUGUCAGUCCUAGUUUGCUUUGUCCCUGUAUAAUGGUCGGUCCCAGCCAGGCGCCUCUUCCAUGUAAAGAUAUCGGCAGCUUCAAGCCUUGCCGAUAUCUCAAUCCGUACGUGAAUGUAAAUUAACCGAAAUCCUUGUUACUAAGCCCUGCACGGUGCUCUCUCACAUAAUGCUUCUUUAAAUUUUCAGUCUCACUUAAUUUCCGGGGUUAGUAAUAUAUUUUGCCAUAAGUUAACUCCCCGUGAUGGCCAGUUUCAUGUACUAUAUAUAAGUAAUUUGCCUUUUGCAUGGCUAUAAUUCUGCAUCUGUGUCUAAGGCCCAGUUUCACAGUUCCUCAUGAUGGGUUAGUAAGCUCCGAAACCAAUACCAGAGCCUUCGAAAUUUCCUUGUACGGUGUCUGGAGUUUAUAUUCAAGUUCACAAAUUUGACGAGACUAUACAGGAAAGGUCUUGUGUGUUUAUGGUACGAAGGAAAGGGAGGAGAAGGGAGAUGAGAUUGGGAGACGAGUGAGCCGAGAUCCUGUUUAUAUUCAAGUUCACAAAUUUGACGAGACUAUACAGGAAAGGUCUUAUAUUGUCAUGAUACGAAGGAAAGGGAAGAGAAGGGAGAUGAGAUUGGGAGACGAGUGAGCUGAGAUCCUGCUUAUAUUCAAGUUCACAAAUUUGACAAGACUAUAUACAGGAAAAGCUGUGUUUAUGGUAUGAAGGAAAGGGAAGAGAAGGGAGAUGAGUAAGCUGAGAUCCUGUUUAUAUUCAAGUCCACAAAUUUGACGACACAAUACAGGAAAAGCUCUUUGUAUUUAGUGUGUCAUCGAAGACCGCGCCAUUUUGAACAGUAUGGGAUUCUAUAGCUUGGUUCGGGAGUGUUACAAAGACCAUGAUGGACUGUGGAAGCGGCCCUUAAUGUUCCCUUUUCUAAUAUGCCUCUCUGUUUUUGCAGGAUGCCGCGGACGGACCAUGCAGAGGACUCAUCGCGACGACACCAACGGUUUGGUUAAGUGGGUUCUCUUGUGUGUGCGUCUGUGUGUGAAUGGCAGGCCUGUCGUAUGAUUGUGUGUGUGUGUGCGUUGGCGUUAUGCCUUCGCACUAUUAUUUUGUUAGGAUGUAUUUUUGUGUGUGAACUUUUUGCACGUAAUCUUUUUUUAUACCCAUAGCUAGCGUUUGUUUGUGUGGCAGUGUUCCGGGAGAUGGACGCCGGGGGACAUGGGCUUGGGGAGGCGCACAUGACCUCCUCUGUCCGUGACCUCUUCAGCUGGGGAGACCGUGUGUUGCCCCGCCUGGAGAGACACGUUGAUGGAGGUGGCCGUGUGUGUCACCCUUUGCCUGUAUCCUCUGGCGUCCAGAGGCGCGUAAGUGGAGAGCAUCGGCGCAGCGCGGGAGCAUCACGUCAGGGUGUAGGGUGUUUGUUUAGCUGGUGUAGGGUGUUAGGGUGUUAGGGUGUUAGGUGUAACAACGGUUGGCUCUUUCACAGAACGGGUGUGAUUCCGUUCUGCGUUUGAGUCUUCCACCUUCAGACGGUCUCCCUCCGAGAUGUCUGAAGUUUUUUUGUCGGUUUUCUCCGUAGGAGGAAGCCGACUCUAGCUACUCUGGCCUCUCUUCCGGGGGUCAGAGCGGUCGGGCUCUGCUUGGCCAGGCGUUGCCUUUCGCGUUGUCUCCGCCGACGUUUUGCCAGACUCUUCCGUACGGUUGAGCCUGGCUUUUUUAUUAGGUGGAUCAGGCUGCCUUCUUCCAAGGAGUCUGAUGGGAGUGGAGUCUUUUUUUUGGUGUAUGUCUGUGGGUACUUAGUGGGUAAGGGAGGGUGGGGUAGAAUGGUUGGUGGGCUGGAAGUGGGUUGGGGGAUGAGCCUCCUGGGAUUUGGGUUGUGUCGAGCCUUACCGCCUGGUGUGUUGGGUAACCUUCACGCCAGGGGGGGGGUGCCAAGACUAUAUCCAUCUCCUGGGCAGGGCGAUUCCCCUUUCCCAUGCUAACUGGCCCUCCUCCGUCUGCCUCCCCAAACCCCCGCUAAGUGCUUGUGUGUGUUAUUUUAUUUAGGAUGUCUUUUUUUUCUAUGCCUUUUUCCCGUGUGUUUAUACCCAAUAGCUAGCGUGUGUGUGUGUGGCAGUCCAGAGGCGCGUGCAGCGAGGACAUCACAUCACGUCACUACGGUAUAUCCACGGUAUUUGGUUUAGUGUGUGCUGUGUGUGUUUGUGUGUGUGAUGGCAGGCCUGCCGUGUGUUUGACCUUUUGCUGUGUGUUGCUGUGUGACUGCUAGGAUUUCAUUUCUAUGUAUGUUUUUUUCCCCAUAACCCCCUUCCUCCCUAGCUCUUUAGCUGUUGUGUGCGAGGCGCUGGGUGGAUGCUGCCGGGCGACCAACGGCGGUGGCGGUGUGCAACGCGGGAGCUGCUGAGGUUUGGGGUAGCACUACGGUGCAGGUU